rnacentral:lncRNA from 1 species
AGGCCCUGCCCUCUGCUGGCCGCUAGGCCUUCAGUUCCUUCCACAGAGGAACUCAGUCCUGCCCUUUUGGACAACAGGUUUCUCAUUCUGCCUUCUAGAUGCCUCUGCUACAGACCCAGGAGAGCCAUGGCUUCUCACUUACCCAACAUGUUUCAGUUCCCGCAGAAAGGUAGUGGGACAUCUGUAAAGAGACGGAGCUCGCAAGGAGGAGCAUUUUAACAAAUACAGCCAAUGAAGCCAAAUCAAAUGAACUAAGUUCCUCACGAUUAUUUCCUUGAGAUCUGAUUGGCUCAAUAGCAAAAGAUAUGACUGUCCCACAUCGGGCUCAGUAUUUUUAGAAAAGGUGUAUGGCUUCUGUUGAGUGCAGGGCUAGGCGCUCUCCCUUCCAUGGGAAAGGCUGGCUUUGCACCCUCAUACCUGUGUGCUCGAGGGCCUCCCACUGGAGAAAGAAAGUCUGUAAUGUAGCACCAGGCGCCUGUGCCAGAGCCAGGGGUUGCUGGGCUCUGGGAAGGCACCUCAAGCUGGGACCGACUGGUGGUUUUUGCAUUACUGACAGAUGUGUUUUUAGUAUGAAGGUGGUAGGAAGAUUUUCUAGCCACUGGGAAGAAGCGGCAGUGGGGUGGGGGCAGCCAGUAUUCACCUAGCCACCCACUAGGGUGAUCUGCAUUUGGUUACUCCUCCCUUCCCCACACUUGGUCCCCCUUCCCCUGAAGGAUCACGUAACUCAGAAGAACUGAUUUGGACACAUAAUGUGUUUUAGAUUUUCUUUCCUAGGCGAUUUCCAGGCACAGUCCUGACUGGACAAUCAUCACAGAAUACUGCAGAUUUUCCAUGUUAACACUGUGGAUGGGUUUUCAAUCAAUAAAACUGGGGCUUUCUUCU